GCAUAUCAAUAAGCGGAGGAAAAGAAACCAACAGGGAUUGCCCUAGUAACGGCGAGUGAAGCGGCAACAGCUCAAAUUUGAAAUCUGGCCCCCGGGUCCGAGUUGUAAUUUGUAGAGGAUGCUUUUGGUGCGGUACCUUCCGAGUGCCCUGGAACGGGACGCCAUAGAGGGUGAGAGCCCCGUCUGGUUGGACGCCAAUCCUUUGUAAAGCUCCUUCAACGAGUCGAGUAGUUUGGGAAUGCUGCUCUAAAUGGGAGGUAUAUGUCUUCUAAAGCUAAAUAUUGGCCAGAGACCGAUAGCGCACAAGUAGAGUGAUCGAAAGAUGAAAAGCACUUUGAAAAGAGAGUUAAAAAGUACGUGAAAUUGUUGAAAGGGAAGCGCUCAUGACCAGACUUGGGCUUGGUUGAUCAUCCAGGGUUCUCCCUGGUGCACUCUUCCGGCCCAGGCCAGCAUCAGUUCGCUGUGGGGGAUAAAGGCUUCGGGAAUGUGGCUCCCUCGGGAGUGUUAUAGCCCGUCGUGUAAUACCCUGUGGCGGACUGAGGUUCGCGCAUUCGCAAGGAUGCUGGCGUAAUGGUCAUCAGCGACCCGUCUUGAAACACGGACCAAGGAGUCGUCUUCGUAUGCGAGUGUUCGGGUGUCAAACCCCUACGCGUAAUGAAAGUGAACGCAGGUGAGAGCUUCGGCGCAUCAUCGACCGAUCCUGAUGUUCUCGGAUGGAUUUGAGUAAGAGCAUACGGGGCCGGACCCGAAAGAAGGUGAACUAUGCCUGUAUAGGGUGAAGCCAGAGGAAACUCUGGUGGAGGCUCGCAGCGGUUCUGACGUGCAAAUCGAUCGUCAAAUAUGGGCAUGGGGGCGAAAGACUAAU
rnacentral:rRNA from 1 species